GCCAAGUAAAGUUCCAGAUACUCAGCAGGCGGUAGCUGGGGCAUCAUUUGAGUUCUGGGCUGUAGUGUGCUGUGCCAAUCAGGUGUCCGCACUAAGUUUGGCAUUAUAUGGUGACCUUCCAGGAGCAGAGGACCAGCACGUUGCCUAAGGAGGGGUGAACUGGCUCAGGUUGGAAACAGAGCAGGUGAAAACUCCCGCACUGAUCAAGAGUGGGAUCAUGCCUGUGAAUAGUGCUCCAGUCUGGGCAACUUAGUGAGACCCCAUCUCU
rnacentral:SRP_RNA from 1 species